rnacentral:rRNA from 1 species
UACGAAGGGGGCUAGCGUUGCUCGGAAUCACUGGGCGGAAAGCGCACGUAGGCGGCUUGUUAAGUCAGGGGUGAAAUCCUGGAGCUCAACUCCAGAACUGCCUUUGAUACUGGCGAUCUUGAGUCCGGGAGAGGUGAGUGGAACUGCGAGUGUAGAGGUGAAAUUCGUAGAUAUUCGCAAGAACACCAGUGGCGAAGGCGGCUCACUGGCCCGGUACUGACGCUGAGGUGCGAAAGCGUGGGGAGCAAACAGG